rnacentral:lncRNA from 1 species
GUUAUCCACAUCCGGAUAGCUCAUCCAGGAUAUUUGUAUUUUAGACCUCCACGUCGUCCGACAGCAUGCUCGUAUCUCCAUCGAUAUCUAUGAUCAGGGCCCUGGCACUGCAGAGUCCAUUCCUUUACCUUUUAUGCAUCCCUCAUCAUUAGGAGCACCUGCAUUGCAUAGAGGAGGUACCAGAUGAUAUUGCUCAUCAUCGUUUCUGAUCUCAGAUCUUCCAUCAUUC